CAGAAUAUAGUUUAACUUAAAAUAUUAGUUUUGGAGACUAAAGAUAAUUUAUUUAAUUUAUUCUGA
rnacentral:tRNA from 1 species